GACAGAGGUGCCAAGCGUUAGGCGGAAUCACUGGGCUUAAAGCGUGUGUAGGCGGACUCGUAAGUGCUUUGUGAAAUCCCCCGGCUCAACCGGGGAACUGCUUGGCAUACUGCGAGUCUUGAGCCACCUAGGGGCAACUGGAACGAACGGUGGAGCGGUGAAAUGCGUAGAUAUCGUUCGGAACGCCAAAGGUGAAAACAGGUUGCUGGGGGUGUGCUGGACGCUGAGACACGAAAGCCAGGGGAGCAA
rnacentral:rRNA from 1 species